rnacentral:rRNA from 1 species
UACGAAAGGUGCAAGCGUUACUCGGAAUCACUGGGCGUAAAGCGCACGUAGGCGGAUUAGCAAGUCAAUUGUGAAAGCCCCAGGCUCAACCUGGGAAUUGCAGUUGAAACUGCUUUUCUUGAAUAUCUGAGAGGGUGGGGGAAUACCUAGUGGAGAAGUGAAAUUCGUAGAGAUUAGGUGGAACACCAGAGGCGAAGGCGCCUGCCUGGCAGAAUAUUGACGCUGAGGUGCGAAAGUGUGGGGAGCAAACAGG